rnacentral:misc_RNA from 1 species
AAAACAAACAAAAAUAGAAAAACAAAGAUCGUAGGCAAAUAUU